rnacentral:rRNA from 1 species
AUUGAACGCUGGCGGCAGGCCUAACACAUGCAAGUCGAACGAGUGGCGGACGGGUGAGUAAUGUCUGGGAAACUGCCCGCUGGAGGGGGAUAACUACUGGAAACGGUAGCUAAUACCGCAUACUAUCGGAUGUGCCCAUAUGGGAUUAGCUAGUAGGUGGGGUAAAGGCUCACCUAGGCGACGAUCCCUAGCUGGUCUGAGAGGAUGACCAGCCACACUGGAACUGAGAAAAGGUCAAGACUCCUACGGGAGGCAGCAGUGGGGAAUAUUGCACAAUGGGCGCAAGCCUGAUGCAGCCAUGCCGCUUGUAUGAAGAAGGCCUUAGGGUUGUAAAGUACUUUCAGCGAGGAGGCGUUACCCGCAGAAGAAGCACCGGCUAACUCCGUGCCAGCAGCCGCGGUAAUAC